rnacentral:rRNA from 1 species
GUGCCAGCAGCCGCGGUAAUACAGAGGUCCCAAGCGUUGUUCGGAUUCAUUGGGCGUAAAGGGUGCGUAGGUGGCGUCGUAAGUCGGGUGUGAAAUCUCGGGGCUUAACUCCGAAACUGCAUUCGAUACUGCGGUGCUUGAGGACUGGAGAGGAGACUGGAAUUUACGGUGUAGCAGUGAAAUGCGUAGAGAUCGUAAGGAAGACCAGUGGCGAAGGCGGGUCUCUGGAAAGUUCCUGACACUGAGGCACGAAGGCCAGGGGAGCAAACGGGAUUAGAUACCCCGGUAGUCC